ACUUGACCUCAAAUCAGGUAGGACUACCCGCUGAACUUAAGCAUAUCAUA
rnacentral:rRNA from 2 species